GGAGCUUUUGUGCCAGCUAUGGUUCCAAUGUAUUGCAAAUGCGAGAUGCCAUUUAAUCCGGAUGAGUUUAUGGUAAACAAUAUUGAUGAGAAUAGUCAAGUAAAUUCGAUAACUUGGUCUUUCUCUUCUCUUCUCAAUCUCUGUAUUUGGGCUACGGAAAGACUAAUUUUCAUGUCAGGGAUAUAACUUAGAGCCUCAGACAACCAAAUUAAAAGAAAAGGCCAUUUUGAGCCAGAGUAACAAUAAACAAGAAAGAUACAUUUAUGGCAUGCUCGCU